rnacentral:rRNA from 1 species
GAUGAACGCUGGCGGCGUGCCUAAUACAUGCCAGUCGAGCGAACAGACGAGGAGCUUGCUCCUCUGACGUUAGCGGCGGACGGGUGAGUAACACGUGGAUAACCUACCUAUAAGACUGGGAUAACUUCGGGAAACCGGAGCUAAUACCGGAUAAUAUAUUGAACCGCAUGGUUCAAUAGUGAAAGACGGUUUUGCUGUCACUUAUAGAUGGAUCCGCGCCGCAUUAGCUAGUUGGUAAGGUAACGGCUUACCAAGGCGACGAUGCGUAGCCGACCUGAGAGGGUGAUCGGCCACACUGGACCUGAGACACGGUCCAGACUCCUACGGGAGGCAGCAGUAGGGAAUCUUCCGCAAUGGGCGAAAGCCUGACGGAGCAACGCCGCGUGUGUGAUGAAGGUCUUCGGAUCGUAAAACUCUGUUAUUAGGGAAGAACAAAUGUGUAAGUAACUAUGCACGUCUGGACGGUACCUAAUCAGAAAGCCACGGCUAACUACGU